UAUGUACUAUUUUUUCAGUACGAAAGGACCAAGAAAAUGAGACCCAUACUCCUAGCAAGUCUCAACCCGGCUGAAACAAUAUCAAGCCCUCAGUGCCACUCAACCCAAAAACAGGACC
rnacentral:rRNA from 1 species